rnacentral:lncRNA from 10 species
AUUUCACCAUGUUGGCUGGUCUCGAACUGCCGACCUCGCCUCGCCUCUGCCUGCCUCGGCCUCCCAAAGUGCUGGGAUUACAAGCGUGAGCCACCGAACCUGGCCUUUCUUUCUUUUUUUGACAUAGGUCUCACUCUGUCACCAGGCUGGAGUACAGUAGCACGAUUAUAGCUCACUGCAGCCAUGAACUUCUGGGCUCAAGCAAUCAUCCUGCCUCAGCCUUCUGAGCAGCUGGGACUACAGGUGUGCACCAUCACCCUUGGCUAAGUUUUUAAUUUAGUUUUUAUUUAUUAUUUUUUGAGACUGGGUCUUGCUCUGUUGCCCAUGCUGGAGUGCAGUGGUGCGAUCAUGGCUCACUGCAGCCUGUACCUCCCAGGCUCAAGCAAUCCUCUAGCUUCAGCCUCUUGUGGAGUUGGAACUACAGGUGCACACCACCAUGCCUGGCUAAUUUUGGUAUUUUUUUUGUAGAGACAGGCUUUUGCCAUAUUGCCCAGGCUGGUCUCAAACUCCUGAGCUCAAGGGAUCCACCCGCCUCAGCCUCCCAAAGUGUUGGGAUUACAGGCAUGAGGCACACCUGGCUUUAUUUUUAAUUUUCUGUACAGACGAAGUCUCGCUGUGUUGACCAGGCUGGUCGUGAACUCCUGGCCUCAAGCGAUCCUCCCAUCUCAGCCUCCCAAAGUGUUGGGAUUACAGGUAUAAACCACUAUCAACUAUUAGUCUUCCCACAGCUUCAAUUGCUCUCGUUAUUCUAAUCCUACUGACCAUUCUCAAAGUCCUCCCAAGUUUUUUUUUUUUUUUAAUGAGGGAAAAUGGAUAAAACUGAGCAAUAUUAUCUCUCCACUGAGAUGUCUAGCUUUUUUUGAGUCAUGCUUAAAGUCUAACUAUAUGGUCUAAAAUUGGUUUAGGAUUCCUUUCGGCCACCAGUGCCAACUUAUCUUAGGCUAAAAGGAAUAGAGUUCAGUUGAUCUAAUUUAGAACAAAUUUGUAUCCAUAGAUGGGACGGAAAUCUAGGUGAGGAUUAAGGUCAUGGCCAAGGUACAAGAGGAGGAGGAAGUCUGAGUUAAUUAUAACCUAGGUUAUGCAGUCUUAAUUCCAGGAAGCUGUGCCUCAGCUAGGUAGACAACUUGUUGAUUGAGGAGUAUUCUCAGAGGAACUGGAAGCUAUCCAUUUCUGAAUUCCGAGCUGAAUUUCUACGUCAUCUGAGAUGAAGGUGAAGGUGUCAGUAUCCAAAGACUGGAAAUUCUAAGAGAAAUAUGUCGCUUGGAGAAAGCCCUUUAAUUUAAAAAAAACAGUAUAUAUUUUGCUAAUAGUUACAGUAAAAACAGAUAAAACCAAGAGAACAUGGCCAUCAUUGUUCAAGGCCUCAUACUCUCUGAUGCAAAAAGGUAAGCCUGAAUUAAAAGCUACAUUUCUUAAUGUCUCUCAUAUGAAAAGCUAUAUAAGCUCCUGGUGUCGAGUUUAAAAACUGAGAACUUAUUUGUAAACAUUAUGGGUAGAGAUUAGGGAGUUAAAUGAUCACUUUUUAAAAUGUUUAGGAUUAGGUAUUAACACCUAUUUGCCUUAUUCUCUUCUUUAGUAAGAGCUCUCUCUGUCAAUAUAUAGCCAAUAGUCUUGCUUAAGGCCCAGGAAAAGUCACUGUCUCCAAGGCAAAUUAUAUGUUACGAAUCUUCACUUACUCCUGCUAAAGUUAAAAUGGAGUGUCUUACAUGCGGGUUAGAGUUCAGAUGCAAGUUUCUGAAUAAAAACAUAAAAAGUCAACCAUCUCCCUUACCUAUUCCUGCUCCUCACAGUACAAUAAACAACUUAAAUAUCGCAGAAUAGAGGGAAUGUGGUUAGAGUUAGGACACCGAGGAAUCAAGUCCUGCAUUCCAGUCCCCUACCCCUGACUCAUUCACCUCAGGCAAAUGGUUCCACUUCAUUUCAUUUUGUACUGAAAAGUGAGGAGAGUAACAUUUUGUUUCAAAUUUUCUUAGGUGAGUGGGUUGGACUAACCUGUAAGGCUUUUGCUGAAGUUGAGAUGAACAAAUAAGGAAAAUAUGCAACUAUAGAUUGUUUUAAGAGAGGUGGGAAAAAACCCAACGGAUUUUGUUGCUGAUUUGUGUCCUUAGGACUUUCCACAAAUAACUUUGAGAGAUUUACUACUUAGUCCUUAGAGGCAGCUUCCUUCUGGGAUGGGUGGAUAUGAGGCGUGCGGUGGGGUCAGAUGGUGAUGGGAGAGCAAAGGAACACAAAGGUCCCAAAUCAAGGCCCAUUUGGCUUCAGUGUUUACCCUCAGUGCAGUGGGGGUGAAAUUUGGAGCCUAGGGUGAGGUAGAAAUUAGUUUCCCUGUUGCAGUAGUAACUUGGGUAUCAGAUAAUAAAGUAUAUUUCUGCCAGCAUAUUCUAAAGGCAGAUGAAACUAUACAGGGGUUUAAGGUAAAGCUAUAAUGAGCAAAAUAUCACCCCUGACUUUUUAAAAUUUCAUUUUACGUUCCAGGGUACAUGUGCAGGAUGUGCAGGUUUGUUACAUAGGUGAACGUGUGCCAUGGUGGUUUGCUGCACCUAUCAACCCAUCACCUAGGUAAUAAGCCCAGCAUGCAUUAGUUGUAUUUCCUGAUGUUCUCCCUCCCUCUGCCCUCCCCUUGACAGGCUCCAUUGGGUGUUGUUCCCCUCCUUGUGUCCAUGUGUUGACAUUGUUCACCCUCACUUGUAAGUGAGAACAUGUGGUGUUUGAUUUUCUGUUCCUGUGUUAGUUUGCUGAGGAUAAUGGCUUCCAGCUCCAUCCCCAACCCUGCAAAGGACAUGAUCUCAUUCUUUUUUAUGGCUGCAUAGUAUUCCAUGGUGUAUAUGUACCACAUUUUCUUUAUCCAGUCUAUCACUGAUGGGCAUUUGGGUUGAUUCCAUGUCUUUGCUAUUGUGAAUAGUGCUGCAAUAUGUAUGUAUCUUUAUAUGUACCUAGUACAUCCACUUUCAAAACAACUUAAUCACCUUUUUGGAGAAGUUUUUUUCUGAUUUUCCCAAACUGCUUCCCUUUACCCUCCUGUUGAUGCUUCUUGUAGCACACAUCAUUGUAUAAUAGAAUGAUUUAUAUAAUUUAUAAUGAUAUAACAGAAUGAUUUAUGUUAGAAUGAUUCAUAUUCUAUAGAAUAGAAUAGAAUAGAAUGAUUUAUAUUCCUUUGGGUAUAUACCCAGUACUAGGACUGCUGGUUCCAAUGGUAUUUCUGGUUCUAGGUCUUUGAGGAAUCGCCACACUGUCUUCCACAUCACCCCUGACUUAAUGUUUACUUGGUCAUUAUUACUUUCAUUUUUUCCCCAAUCUGGGGCUUACAUGACUUCCUUUCCAUUGUUCUACCUGGAGGUCACUAAAAUUGGUAACCACUCUUCCACCAUCACCUUAUAAUUCACUGUCUUAGAACUACAUUUAUUCAGUUGUUCUAUUAGGUUCCCCACUCUCUUGAGACCCAGAGUCAGAUGACAUCAGGUAAAAAUGCAGGCUGUCCUUAGGGGAAACAGUAGCUAUUUUAACAAGCAGGCUAUAAUUCAAAACCACACAACAGUAUUUAAUUGCUUUUGGAUUUGACAACACUGGAAUGCAUUAAAACUUGGAGCCUCUGAAGAUAACCUUCCUAACUUCAUGCAAGAAGUCCAAGGUAUAGUUCUUAUAAAAAUCCAUCCAUAGGUUGCAUAUGUAAAAUCCUCUGAGGAAAAUGGUGGUGCUAUAAACCUUUACAUGAUGAGCUUCUUUCAGCUGUAACAAGGAUAUAAAUCAGGAAAUGCGGGCUUGGCAAAGAAAGAGUUAAGAUGAUCAAUUUCUAAGGAAUUUCAGGGAUUUUCAGAUUUCAGGCUUGGUCUUUUAUAAAGGAUCUUCUGCUGCCUACCUCCUGGUUCUCCCCUGCUAGACCUUACAUAUGCAAAGGUAGCUUUGCAUUAGCUAGCACAGUAGAGAAGGCUAAUCAGAGAUCCACAUCUCUGUUUCAGAGUUGGAGGUUGAGAUGCAAGAGUGACUCAGCUGGCAUCAGCUCUGUAGCAGUCUCAGCCUGCAGGCCUUCAGGAAGUAAGUCCUCCAGGCCUGCAUCUCCCUCUGUGGCAAAUUGCCACUAAACUCUGCUGUUUAUCAACCCAGUACCAAACACAGUAGGAUGAGUCUGCUGUUUCACUGUUUUCAACAAACCCAAAAACACAGAAGCCAGAUUACAUGAUGGGAUAGUAUUACAACAGUGUAUUAGAUACAGUAUCUCCCUUAAGAAGCUUACAGUUUAGUAAGGAAAUAAAUGUAAAUAUAGCAUUAGAGUGCAAUGAUGUGUGCUACAAGAAGCAUCGACAGGAGGGUAAAGGGAAGCAAUUCGGGAAAAUCAGAAAAAAACUUCUCUGAAAAGGUGAUGAAGUGGUUUUGAAAGUGGAUGUGCUAGGUAGAAAGUGCCAGGAAUGAAGGCAGAGGGGAAAACAUUUAUAUAGAUUAAUUAAUGGAUACAUUCACUUUAUUCAUCACAUUUGCAUUGAGUGACUUCUGUGUGCUUGCAGCAUGUGAUACGAACCAUAUAGUACAGGCAAGGUGGUGUAUAUAUAUAGGUGGAGAUAUGGUAAGAUGAGAUAAUGAUGUUGUGGGAGUAACUGGAAGUUCUCCAAUUGCUUAAAUUUUCUCAGUCAAGUAGGAAGUAAGGUCGUCUGUUGAAGGAUGUAAUUGCGGUCUGAAGAAACAUAAUAUGAUUGGCUGGUAGUAUUAAGUGCUCUCUUAAGGUUCUGACCAUCAUGAAUAUAAAGUGAGACUACUUUUUUUUUUUUUUUUUUUGAGACAGAGUCUCGCUGUGUCGCCAAAACAGGAAGGAGUGUAGUGGUGCAAUCUCGGCUAAUUGCAACCUCUGCCUCCCAGGUUCAAGCGAUUCUUAUGCCUCAGCCUCCCAAGUAGCUGGGACUACAGGUGCGUGCCACCAUGCUCAGCUAAAUUUUGUAUUUUUAGUAGAGAGCGGGUUUCACCAUGUUGGCCAGGCUGGUCUCAAACUCCUGGCCUCAAGGGAUCCACCCAAAGUGUUGGGAUUACAGGCGUGAGCCACUGCACCUGGCCAGACUAGUUACUUUGUUUUCUCCAACUUCAUUUGGCUGCAUAGGUGCAGAGCAGGUAGACAGCUGAAUUAAGCCAAGGAGGUGGUUUUGGUAAGUGAGUACAACGAAGUGAGUGAGAGGCAAGGAAGUUGAAGGUGUAUUCAAGAGAAUGCUUAUGAUUGAUCAUGGAACCUAAGUUGUAACAGGAGAGAAAAGCUGAAAUCAAGGGGGUGAGGGAGAUGGUAGGAUCAAUUUAUUGAUGGUCAUGAAAACUCUGAAUUUGUGUAGUUAUUUGACAGAAUGGGCUAGGAAGGUCAUAGGUGGUCAGAGAGAGGGAUGCAUGAAAUUGAAACUAAGAUGGUUGAUGUUUUUGGUAAAAAGAUGGGAAUCAGUAUUUAAGGAAGGUGAAAGGUAUUAACUGUUAAGUUUUUAGGGAAUCAAAAGGCCAGGUUGGUUGAAGGAUCAUUUAUGUUAAUAGUUCUCAAACUUUAGCAUGCAUUAGACUUAUAUAUGGAAAGAUAAUUAAAACACAGAUUGUGCUAGGUGCAAUGACGUAUGCCUGUAGUCCUAGCUACUUGGGAGGCUGAGGGAAGAAGAUUGCUUGAGCUCAGGGGUUUGAGACCAGUCCAGGUAACACAGUGAGACCAUCUCUAAAAAAAUGCAAAACAACACAACAAAAAAAAUACAGAUUGCAAGAUCUCACUCCUAGUUUCUGGGGUAGAGCCUGGUAAUUUUCAUUUCUAAAUUCCCUGGUGAUGCUGAUGCUGCUGUGGUCCAGGGACUGUACUUUGGAAACUACUGACCCAUGUGUAUGUUGAAAUUGCAAUUGUCAAGAAUUAAGAUAGAAGUAGUGUUAUAAAGUGACAGUGAGCCAGGACACAAAAUUGGCAAGAAAUAAAGGGGACCAGCUGCGGUGGCUCACGCUUGUAAUCCCAGCACUUUGGGAGGCCAAGGUGGGGGAUUCUUUCAGCCUAGGAGUUUGAGACCAGCUUGGGCAAUGUGGCUACCCUGUCUCUACAAAAAAAUAGCCGUGUGUGGUGGCAUGCGCCUGUAGUUCCAGCUAUUUGGGAAGCUGAGAUGGGAGGAUCUUGAUUGAGCCUGGGAGGUUGAGACUGCAGUAAGCUGUGAUCAUGCCACUAUACUCCAGCCCAGGCGACAGAGCGAGACCCUGUCUCAAAAGACAAAAAGAAAGAAAGGGGAAUGAACUGAUUAGUGGAAAAUUGCAACAAUCAGGGACAGUGGAUACACACUCUAAUAACAUGAUAUUUAAAGCUAGGUUUUAUGGGGAUUGGUUAGAAAUGGUGGCUGAAACAAUGGUUGGCAGCUAAGUGAGAUUAAGAUGAGGCAGAAGGGAGAUUGCCAAGGGCUUUGCAUGUUAGUAUUUUAUUAUAUCAGGGCCUUUUGUUUGGUAAACAGGUCUAGUGUAAGUUCCCUGCUAAGGGAUUACCUCUGGUGGAACUGUUACUGAAUUCAUCACAAGGGUGAUCACAAUCUUAUGUCCUAGUAGAAACAAAAACCACACUAAUUAGGAAAUAGUAAGUCCUACUAAACUACCUAUCACUUUACAUAAGAUUAGGGAGGUUGAUAUCUAAUGAGACAAGAAAUCUUAAAUAACUUAAUAGUAGGGCAAAGCAGGACCAAGAAUAUAUAAUACAGAAUGGAACUGUGGAAAUACAAAGCAGGAUCCACAAGCUGGUCACAGGUAGAGUCAGGGCACAGACUACAACACAGGAUCAUGACCUGGGCCCAGCUUAUGCUGCCACCACUUAUUGCUCUUGGGAUCCUAG